rnacentral:rRNA from 1 species
UACGUAGGGUGCGAGCGUUAAUCGGAAUUACUGGGCGUAAAGUGUGCGCAGGCGGCAGAGCAAGUCGAGUGUGAAAGCCCCCGGGCUUAACUUGGGAAUUGCGCUCGAAACUACUUUGCUGGAGUGUGGCAGAGGAAGGUGGAAUUCCACGUGUAGCGGUGAAAUGCGUAGAGAUGUGGAGGAACACCAAUGGCGAAGGCAGCCUUCUGGGC